rnacentral:rRNA from 1 species
AACGAACGCUGGCGGCAGGCUUAACACAUGCAAGUCGAACGCAUCCUUCGGGGUGAGUGGCAGACGGGUGAGUAACGCGUGGGAACGUGCCCUUCAGUUCGGGAUAACCCAGGGAAACUUGGGCUAAUACCGGAUACGUGCGAGAGCAGAAAGAUUUAUCGCUGAAGGACCGGCCGCGUCUGAUUAGCUAGUUGGUGGGGUAAUGGCCCACCAAGGCGACGAUCAGUAGCUGGUCUGAGAGGAUGAUCAGCCACAUUGGGACUGAGACACGGCCCAAACUCCUACGGGAGGCAGCAGUGGGGAAUAUUGGACAAUGGGCGCAAGCCUGAUCCAGCCAUGCCGCGUGAGUGAUGAAGGCCUUAAGGUUGUAAAGCUCUUUCGUCCGGGACGAUAAUGACGGUACCGGAAGAAGAAGCCCCGGCUAACUUCGUGCCAGCAGCCGCAGUAA